rnacentral:rRNA from 1 species
UACGUAGGGGGCAAGCGUUGUCCGGAUUUAUUGGGCGUAAAGGGCGCGUAGGCGGUCUUGUCAGUCCCUUGUGAAAUCCCCCGGCUCAACUGGGGAACUGCACGGGAAACAGCAGGGCUUGAGUUCGGGAGAGGGAAGCGGAAUUCCGGGUGUAGCGGUGAAAUGCGUAGAUAUCAGGAAGAACACCAAUGGCGAAAGCAGCUUUCUGGGACGGUACUGACGCUGAGACGCGAAAGCGUGGGGAGCGAACAGG